CUUUAUUGGAGAGUUUGAUCCUGGCUCAGGACGAACGCUGGCGGCGUGCCUAAUACAUGCAAGUCGAGCGAAUUGAUGGGAGCUUGCUCCCUGAAGUUAGCGGCGGACGGGUGAGUAACACGUGGGUAACCUGCCUGUAAGAUUGGGAUAACUCCGGGAAACCGGAGCUAAUACCGGAUAACAUUUUGAACCGCAUGGUUCAAAAUUGAAAGAUGGUUUCGGCUAUCACUUACAGAUGGACCCGCGGCGCAUUAGCUAGUUGGUGAGGUAACGGCUC
rnacentral:rRNA from 1 species